AAUUAUGAGUAACACGAACGAUUUAAUUAAUUUUUACAAUUAAAUUUUUCAAAUGUUAUUAUUUCAUGAUUUCUUUUAAUCCAUAGGAUGGCUUCUAAACAGGAAAACUUCGAUCUCAUUCGUACCGUAAUGCAACAAUCUUUCGUGUCAGCGUCUAUUCACAAGAAACGUUAAUAAAAAUAGAGAAGAAACGAAGGUACAUACACACGAGAAGGAAAAGCCCAUAUUUACCUCGAUUCCCUGUACGAAUCGUACUUUGUAACGAAACCAUAGGGGUUGCGAGUACAAAAGCUUCUUCCCUCCCCUAUUCACUCCAGGCUUUUUAUCGUUAAUAUUAGAGGGUCCUGCCUUUCGUCGUCACGUAAUGCAAUUGCAAAGAAAAGAAUUUGCUCGUGGCUUAUAACGUUGUUCUCCCCUUCCUGCACUUCACUGCCAAUGACAUUUCCAUCAUUUCUUACUUCUCUGAGUAAACCUCACAGCCCAGCCCCGGCCACAAUUCCUCGGCAUUCUUUCCAGCCGAGCGAAGGAGGAAAAAAGAAACUCGCUCUGAACAAGAAUUCCUCGAACAAAACUAGAUGCUCGCGAAAACGAAGCCGCUGCACAGCUCUUGGAAAGCGAUAUUAAAGAACACACGAACAACCAUUCAGCCUACCUAAUCUCAUUACGAUGUUUACUGCAAACGAGCUCGCCUCGUUUCCGCAUCCGUUCGACAACGAUAUCGUGACCUAUGGAAUUCGGCAGUCUUUCAUAACUCGUCCAAUCCAUACAACCCCGCGUUAUCAGGUUAAUUCGCGUGCCUGGAACCCUCUCCCUCGAGUAACCAUCACGUGGUUUUUGAAAUAGAGGAGGGGAGGGAGGUAUAUAAUAGGUUGCAACACUGUGAUGGUUGUCGGAGAAUUGGCGAACUUUGGAAAGGGAGAGAGAAACGUGGCUUUUGCUCGAUGAAUUUCUUAGAGUUGCGGCGGAUUGAUUGGCCGGUGCGCUGAUUGGGUUGCAAAGGGGAUUGGAUUGAUUACUUGGGUGGUUUCGGAGAGGGGGAGGAGAGUUUGGAGACGGUUAAUUAUUCUUUGGACGAAGGGGGGGUUUAGAUUAGUUUUAGAUUGUUGGGAUAAUUGGUUUAUUAUUCUCUUUAUAACUCAAAAGUUGAAUUUUUGAUUUUUUUAUUAUAUUGGUGAAUCAUUUAUGGUAGAAGAAAAUAUUCUAUUUUUGAUUUUGUGAAGAUAUGUACAUUUCACGUCCAAUUUCAAAUUUUCUGCACCUUACCUUUUGCACAUUCUGUACGAUAUUUCACAGGAUAAUUCAUAUUAAUCCAGCAUAUAUUCGAUGUUGAAUAUGCGAUGAGUCUUCAUAGUUUCGAUAAGCCUCGUCCAAUGAAUAAUGCAUCCCUUGUGAACACGUUUAAUUUUUAUUAAAUCUUGAAUCAUCGAAUCGAAAAUGUUUAACGAAUACCAAUAAUACGAAUAAUAUAAUUCAUAUUUCCAUAUAAAUACACUCGUCAGACUCUACAAUUAAUUCGAACGAGUAUCGGUCACUUUUCGUAUCUCGUUGAUUGUCACGAGGUCAUCUGCGUUUCCGGAACAUGUCGCAAUUGUAGAUGCAAUUGAUUAUGCGUCAUCAAUCUCUCUCUCGACCGUGAGAAUCGUAGAUCUAACGUGCGACAAUCUUGACUGUGAAUUUCUAACCAAGAUCCUAUUGUCGAAGAUCGAAUCAUUAUUAUACGUUCUACAUAAUUUGCACGUUUGUAUUGUAUUAGAGACAUUAAGGAAUUUUAUUGUAUUAAAAUUAUGUAAAUAUCGUUUAGAAUUUUGAAUUA